rnacentral:tRNA from 1 species
UGUUCUGUAGCUUAGUUGGUUAAAGCGCCGGACUAGCGAUAACGGAGUCGUGGGUUCGAAUCCCACCAAAAGAA